GCGGUUUUGCGUGUCCCGCCUCUACGGGCAAAGCGGGUCGGUGAUUGGCAGCGUGGAGAGGAUCGGUUCCGGGUGAGGCUGGCCCCCCAAGAGGAAGAUGGAGAUAGAGGCUUUGACCUCACCUUCAGGACUGCUGAUGACCCUGGCCUGUCCCUCAUAAAAUAUGGAGAAUUUCUGUAUGACAACUUGAUUAUUUUCUCCCCAUCUGUAGAAGAUUUUGGCGGAAACAUCAAUGUGGAGACAAUUACUGCUUUCAUCAGCGGAGGCGGAAGUGUCCUUGUGGCUGCCAGUUCUGACAUUGGUGAUCCUCUGCGAGAGCUGGGCAGUGAGUGUGGAAUAGAGUUUGAUGAGGAAAGGACAG